rnacentral:lncRNA from 1 species
GAAAAAGAGAGAGAAAAUAAAAUGGUUUCAGGCACAGAACUGUAUAUCCAAUAAUGGUGAAAUGGAUCCCACUAAUUAUGACCGAAAUGAUGAUACAUUUAAAUGACUUGGAUGUUUUAUAGGUUGGCAAUCAUGAUGAGCCCCUGUUCUCAUUCUGCAAAUGGUGAAGCUCUCUAUUGUCCUGACCCCACAGUUCCUGUCCCAUGAGCAGGGCCAGCUCACCAAGGAGCUGCAGCAGCACGUAAAGUCAGUGACAUGCCCAUGCG